rnacentral:rRNA from 1 species
UGGUGGAAAGUGGCAGACGGGUGAGUAACGCGUGGGAACGUGCCCUUCGGUUCGGGAUAACCCAGGGAAACUUGGGCUAAUACCGGAUACGCCCUUCGGGGGAAAAAUUUAUUGCCGAAGGAUCGGCCCGCGUCGGAUUAGCUUGUUGGUGGGGUAAAAGCCUACCAAGGCGACGAUCCGUAGCUGGUCUGAGAGGAUGAUCAGCCACACUGGGACUGAGACACGGCCCAGACUCCUACGGGAGGCAGCAGUGGGGAAUAUUGGACAAUGGGCGAAAGCCUGAUCCAGCCAUGCCGCGUGGGUGAAGAAGGCCUUAGGGUUGUAAAUCCCUUUCAGCGGGGAAGAUAAUGACGGUACCCGCAGAAGAAGCCCCGGCUAACUCCGUGCCAGCAGCCGCGGUAAUACGGAGGGGGCUAGCGUUGUUCGGAAUUACUGGGCGUAAAGCGCGCGUAGGCGGACCUGCAAGUCGGGGGUGAAAGCCCGAGGCUCAACCUCGGAACUGCCUUCGAUACUGCGGGUCUUGAGUCCGGGAGAGGUGAGCGGAAUUCCUAGUGUAGAGGUGAAAUUCGUAGAUAUUAGGAAGAACACCAGUGGCGAAGGCGGCUC